GACCGGCCACACUGGGACUGAGACACGGCCCAGACUCCUACGGGAGGCAGCAGUGGGGAAUAUUGCACAAUGGGGGAAACCCUGAUGCAGCGACGCCGCGUGAGGGAUGACGGCCUUCGGGUUGUAAACCUCUUUCAGUAGGGAAGAAGCCUUCGGGUGACGGUACCUGCAGAAGAAGUACCGGCUAACUACGUGCCAGCAGCCGCGGUAAUACGUAGGGUACAAGCGUUGUCCGGAAUUAUUGGGCGUAAAGAGCUCGUAGGCGGUUCGUCGCGUCUGCUGUGGAAACGCAAGGCUCAACCUUGCGCGUGCAGUGGGUACGGGCGGACUAGAGUGCAGUAGGGGAGUCUGGAAUUCCUGGUGUAGCGGUGAAAUGCGCAGAUAUCAGGAGGAACACCGGUGGCGAAGGCGGGACUCUGGGCUGUAACUGACGCUGAGGAGCGAAAGCAUGGGGAGCGAACAGGAUUAGAUACCCUGGUAGUCCAUGCCGUAAACGUUGGGCACUAGGUGUGGGGCUCAUUCCACGAGUUCCGCGCCGCAGCUAACGCAUUAAGUGCCCCGCCUGGGGAGUACGGCCGCAAGGCUAAAACUCAAAGGAAUUGACGGGGGCCCGCACAAGCGGCGGAGCAUGCGGAUUAAUUCGAUGCAACGCGAAGAACCUUACCAAGGCUUGACAUACACUGGAAUGUGCCAGAGAUGGUUCAGCCCUUUUGGGCUGGUGUACAGGUGGUGCAUGGUUGUCGUCAGCUCGUGUCGUGAGAUGUUGGGUUAAGUCCCGCAACGAGCGCAACCCUCGUUCUAUGUUGCCAGCGCGUGAUGGUGGGAACUCAUAGGAGACUGCCGGGGUCAACUCGGAGGAAGGUGGGGAUGACGUCAAAUCAUCAUGCCCUUUAUGUCUUGGGAAUCACUAGUGC
rnacentral:rRNA from 1 species